rnacentral:rRNA from 1 species
CGAAUACCGUCCCGAACGGAAGUGAGACCCGCCGGGCCGUACUUAGUUAGUUGGUGAGGUAAAGGCUCACCAAGACGAAGAUGGGUAGCCGGCCUGAGAGGGCGAUCGGCCACACUGGAACUGAAACACGGUCCAGACUCCUACGGGAGGCAGCAGUGGGGAAUAUUGCACAAUGGGCGCAAGCCUGAUGCAGCGACGCCGCGUGGAGGAUGAAGGUUUUCGGAUUGUAAACUCCUGUUAAGUGGGACGAAAGACUCAUGGCUAAUAUCCAUGGGGGAUGACGGUACCGCUAGAGAAAGCACCGGCAAACUUCGUG